rnacentral:tRNA from 2 species
ACAUUGGUGGUUCAGUGGGAGAAUUCUUGCCUUCGGUGCUGGAGACCUGGGUUUGAUUCCCAGCCGGUGCA